CUACGGGAGGCAGCAGUAGGGAAUCUUCCGCAAUGGGCGAAAGCCUGACGGAGCAACGCCGCGUGAGUGAUGAAGGUCUUCGGAUCGUAAAACUCUGUUAUUAGGGAAGAACAAAUGUGUAAGUAACUAUGCACGUCUUGACGGUACCUAAUCAGAAAGCCACGGCUAACUACGUGCCAGCAGCCGCGGUAAUACGUAGGUGGCAAGCGUUAUCCGGAAUUAUUGGGCGUAAAGCGCGCGUAGGCGGUUUUUUAAGUCUGAUGUGAAAGCCCACGGCUCAACCGUGGAGGGUCAUUGGAAACUGGAAAACUUGAGUGCAGAAGAGGAAAGUGGAAUUCCAUGUGUAGCGGUGAAAUGCGCAGAGAUAUGGAGGAACACCAGUGGCGAAGGCGACUUUCUGGUCUGUAACUGACGCUGAUGUGCGAAAGCGUGGGGAUCAAACAGGAUUAGAUACCCUGGUAGUCCACGCCGUAAACGAUGAGUGCUAAGUGUUAGGGGGUUUCCGCCCCUUAGUGCUGCAGCUAACGCAUUAAGCACUCCGCCUGGGGAGUACGACCGCAAGGUUGAAACUCAAAGGAAUUGACGGGGACCCGCACAAGCGGUGGAGCAAGUGGUUUAAUUCGAAGCAACGCGAAGAACCUUACCAAAUCUUGACAUCCUCUGACCCCUCUAGAGAUAGAGUUUUCCCCUUCGGGGGACAGAGUGACAGGCGGUGCAUGGUUGUCGUCAGCUCGUGUCGUGAGAUGUUGGGUUAAGUCCCGCAACGAGCGCAACCCUUAAGCUUAGUUGCCAUCAUUAAGUUGGGCACUCUAAGUUGACUGCCGGUGACAAACCGGAGGAAGGUGGGGAUGACGUCAAAUCAUCAUGCCCCUUAUGAUUUGGGCUACACACGUGCUACAAUGGACAAUACAAAGGGUAGCGAAACCGCGAGGUCAAGCAAAUCCCAUAAAGUUGUUCUCAGUUCGGAUUGUAGUCUGCAACUCGACUAUAUGAAGCUGGAAUCGCUAGUAAUCGUAGAUCAGCAUGCUACGGUGAAUACGCUCCCGGGCCUUGUACACACCGC
rnacentral:rRNA from 1 species